AUGGGAACACGGAGAGGCCGAGCCCCAGAUCCCAGAACUAUUUCGGGGACGAGCAGAGAACUCCAGGGAAUCCGGGCGGGACAAGGGCACCUCCGGGAUGCCGAGUCCUUCCCAAAUCCCGGCUCUCCUUCCCCAAAUCCGGCCUCACCCCGGCCUAUUUUCCGCCGGCGCCCCUGGGAAUCAUCCCGGGCCGGACACCUGGAGCUCAUCCUGCUGAAAUCCCCAAAGGAUUCUCCCAGGAUCCUUUCCCUGCUGGGAAGGGCAGGAUUUGGGAUUCCCACAGCAGGGACUGGAGCACAUUCCAGAGGGACAAAGGCCGGGAAAGGGUCAAAUCCCAGUGGCCGAGUUGGGGACAAAGAGCCCUUCAGUGGCUCGGGGACGUCCCGGCCGUGCCUGGCACCGGUGGAUCCUUUGAGAUUCCCGGAAUCCAGGCUCUUCCCGGGAUCCCACCCCCUCCGUGUCCCCCUGGAUCAAAUCCCGGAACUGGGAAUGGCUCUGGGAGGGUCACACCUGGAGGUGGCUCUGUAUUGGAGCCUUUUGCAGAGGGAAAGGAGAGCUGGGAUUUGGGAAAGGGCUGGAGGGGCAGGAGCCAGGGAAUGGCUUCCACUGGGAAAGGGGAGCUUGGGAAGGAAUUCUUGGCUGGGCUGCAAUUCCCAGAGAAUCCCUGGAUCCCUGGCAGUGUCCAGGGAAAUCCUGGAGCAACCUGGGGUCAUGGGAUUGGAACGGGGUGGGAUUGAAGAUCCAUGGAUCCCAUCCAAAUCAUUCCGGGAUUCUGGGAUUCAGGACACUCAGGAUCCAUCCCGAGGGAUUUUUAUGGAAUUCGGGGAUGGAAAAGGGAAGGGAGACCCUUCCUGGAGUCCCGAAUUCCCAGUGAAGCCCCUGGAUCCCAAAAUUCCUUCCCGCAGAGGAGUCGGGAUGGGGAUGGAUCCAGUGCCAGGCUGGGAGAGCCGGGAAUGUGCAGCUGGAUCAGGGAAGGAUCCAGGGAAUGCUCGGAGCCUUUUGCAGAGGGAAAGGAGAGCUGGGAUUUGGGAAAGGGCUGGAGGGGCAGGAGCCAGGGAAUGGCUUCCACUGGGAAAGGGGAGCUUGGGCUGGGACCUUGGGAAGGAAUUCCUGGCUGGGCUGGAAUUCCCAGAGAAUCCCUGGAUCCCUGGCAGUGCCCAAGGAAAUCCUGGAUGUUGGAUCACCCUGGGACAGCGGGAAGCGUCGGGGUUGGGAUGGGAUGGGAUUGACGCUCCUUCCCAUCGAAUCCAUUCCCUCGCCAUGAUUCCCAUCCCUGGGAAUGCCGGCGGCUCCCGGGAAUCGCGGAGAAGUUUCCUGGGCGGCUCCCGCAUCCCCCAAAUCCCCCAAAUCUUGGGGAUGCUCCGGGUACCGGGAGGGAGGGGAGGGGCGGGGCAAGGGCGCGGUGUCGAGCGCUGAUUGGUCAGAAAUGACAUCAUGGAUGAGAGUCAGCCAAUGGAGAUCCACUGUGGAUGGAGGCCCCGCCCCAAAUCCCGGGAGGGUCCAGGGGGUCCCGGGAACGGGGUGGGAAUUGUGGGAAAAAUGGGGAAUGAGUGGUGGGAGUUUUGUUGGAAACCGGGAUGAGAAUGAGGAAAACGGGGUGGGGCAAAUGUGGGAAAAUGAAUAAAGAGAAAUGUGAAAUAAAU
ensembl:lncRNA